rnacentral:rRNA from 1 species
AGAGUUUGAUCAUGGCUCAGAAUCAACGCUGGCGGCGUGCCUAAUACAUGCAAGUCGAACGCGAAAGUCCCGCAAGGGAUUAGUAGAGUGGCAAACGGGUGAGUAACGCGUGGGCGACCUACCUUCGAGUGGGGGAUAACCUUCCGAAAGGAGGGCUAAUACCGCAUGACAUCCCGUGUUUGGAUACACGGACAUCAAAGUCGGGGAUCGCAAGACCUGACGCUUGGAGAGGGGCCCGCGUCCGAUUAGCUAGUUGGUGGGGUAACGGCUCACCAAGGCUCCGAUCGGUAUCCGGCCUGAGAGGGCGGACGGACACACUGGGACUGAGACACGGCCCAGACUCCUACGGGAGGCAGCAGUAGGGAAUUGUUCGCAAUGGGCGCAAGCCUGACGACGCAACGCCGCGUGGAGGAUGAAGACCUUCGGGUCGUAAACUCCUUUCGACCGAGAUGAAUACUUGCCGACCUAAUACGUCGGCAAGCUGACAGUAUCGAGGAGAGCC